CCUACGGGUGGCUGCAGUCGAGAAUCUUCCGCAAUGGGCGAAAGCCUGACGGAGCGACGCCGCGUGCGGGAUGAAGGCCUUCGGGUUGUAAACCGCGAAAGUAGGGAGGAAGGCUCCGUGAAGAACGGGGUUUGACCUAUCUACAGUAAGGACGGGCUAAGUUCGUGCCAGCAGCCGCGGUAAUACGAACCGUCCAAACGUUAUUCGGAAUCACUGGGCUUAAAGGGUACGUAGGCGGCGCUGUUAGUCGGGUGUGAAAUCCCACGGCUCAACCGUGGAACUGCGCCCGAUACUGCAGUGCUCGAGGGAGACAGAGGUAAGCGGAACUGAUGGUGGAGCGGUGAAAUGCGUUGAUAUCAUCAGGAACACCAGUGGCGAAAGCGGCUUACUGGGUCUCUUCUGACGCUGAGGUACGAAAGCUAGGGGAGCGAAGGGGAUUA
rnacentral:rRNA from 1 species